rnacentral:lncRNA from 1 species
AAAAGAAAUAUGUUGCCAAGGACAACAAGAGGAAAAUUCACUAGGUGAAAAAUUAUUACAAUCACUCUACUAUUUUUUUUUUUACACCCAAAGCCCCAAUAAAACACUCAAUUUAUCAAUAGACUUACUGUUUCUUUCACGUUAGAAAUUGUCUACUUGUAGAGGACUGAUUGCGUGUUAUAGAAACGAUUGAACUCAACCUUCCUAUAUAUAGUGAUUAUUUCUUGUAAGAGAAAUAUUUGUUUCCUUAUACUAGUUGUACUCCUCGUUAAAUAAGUCAAAUCCCAAAGAAAAAUUACUUAUUCCUUAAAUAUGAAUCCUACUGAAGAGGAAAAUAUCCUAAAAAAUCCUUAUUAAAAAAUAAGAAAUAUUUUCUAACUACCUUCACUUUGGCGAGUUUUUUAAUUAAGCAACAAAACAUGAUCCACCGUGUAUCCACACAACUACGUCGUCUUCACCUUUUUUACUCCACCAUAGAUAAAAUCUUGUGAGAAUAACUCCAUUUUGGCUAAUGAGAAUCACUCCAUCAUAGCUAAAAUUUUGUUUCUAUCUAGUAACCAUAAUUCUUUAUACCAAGAAUCAUCAUACUCUACUUUAUCCAGAGUACACAUAUGGGGCAUACGUCGAUCACCUGAUUGAAAGUAGCUACUCUCAGGUUUAGCUUCUUUGAGAAUCUCUAGCCAUCGACAUAAAAAAAUUCUACCACACUUUGCAUAAUGUCAAAUCAUGUCUCGUGUGCAAUCUUGUGGACCCACUAGUAGUAACACAUCCUCUUUCAUGGCAUGCCAAAAGGGAUAAGCCAGUCUCUCAUGGAGAAAAAAAAAAAAAAAACACACCACUAGUUGACAUUAUCAAUAUCUCUAUCUACUGAUUUAAAACUAUUUGGUGAACUUGCUCUAUUAUGACAAUCUUUUUUAAGGUGCCUUGAUCGGCUGUGCACCUUCACAUGUUUCCACCAGUGGGAACGUCGUCCUGCUUUUUAAUGUGUAAUCAAAUUGAACUAAUAUAUCCUUAACUUGAAUUUGCCACAAGUCAAAUUUGAUUUUUCUAUCAAAUUUUUAUAUUCCUACCUCACAGGUUUUGAAAACCUCAUUGCUGACAUAUUUGCAUUGUGUUGCAACCUUAACUCUGAUACCCUUUAAUACUGUUAAAAAAAUUUAAUCUCACUUAAGAUUUUGUAAGCAAAAAAUAUAAAAACAAAUAAUAAAUAGAAAAUAGAUGGAGAAUAAACUUAAUCAUAUAAAACAAGAAUUUAUAUGGAGAACUCCUAUACCGAAGAAAAACCACAGCCGUCAAGGAUGAUAAGAGAAAAAUCCACUAUAUAAAAAAUUAUUAUAAUCACUCCAAUAUUUUAUUGUCACACUCAAAAUCUCAAUAACACCUAGUCUUUGAAUAAAUAUAUCGUUUCUCUCACAUUAGAAAAUUGUUUACUUGUAGAGAACUGACUAUUGUUUUAUAUAAACAAGUGAACUCAAUCUCCUUAGAGCAUCUCCAAAAGAUUAUUUAAAUUUUACUUUUCAAAUUUUAAUUUGCUUACUGAUGUGGCAAAUAAGUGGGUAGAAAAAUACAAUCUCCUCCAAAAGACUCAUCAAAUAAGAGAAGUUAACAUUAUUUUAAUCAAAUCUUUCCCUCUAUUAAAUUUAACUACCCUCCAUUUUUUUCCCUACAACAAAUUUAAUUAACCUCCAAUUAUUCACUCUAAUUAUUUUAAUUACCCUC